CCUACGGGAGGCAGCAGUGGGGAAUAUUGCACAAUGGGGGAAACCCUGAUGCAGCGACGCCGCGUGAGUGAAGAAGUAUUUCGGUAUGUAAAGCUCUAUCAGCAGGGAAGAAAAUGACGGUACCUGAUUAAGAAGCCCCGGCUAACUACGUGCCAGCAGCCGCGGUAAUACGUAGGGGGCAAGCGUUAUCCGGAUUUACUGGGUGUAAAGGGAGCGUAGACGGCAGCACAAGUCUGGAGUGAAAUGCCGGGGCUUAACCCCGGAACUGCUUUUGAAACUGUGCAGCUUGAGUGCAGGAGAGGUAAGUGGAAUUCCUAGUGUAGCGGUGAAAUGCGUAGAUAUUAGGAGGAACACCAGUGGCGAAGGCGGCUUACUGGACUGUAACUGACGUUGAGGCUCGAAAGCGUGGGGAGCAAACAGGAUUAGAUACCCGGGUAGUC
rnacentral:rRNA from 1 species